AAAUUGAAGAGUUUGAUCAUGGCUCAGAUUGAACGCUGGCGGCAGGCCUAACACAUGCAAGUCGAACGGUAACAGGAAGCAGCUUGCUGCUUCGCUGACGAGUGGCGGACGGGUGAGUAAUGUCUGGGAAACUGCCUGAUGGAGGGGGAUAACUACUGGAAACGGUAGCUAAUACCGCAUAAUGUCGCAAGACCAAAGAGGGGGACCUUCGGGCCUCUUGCCAUCGGAUGUGCCCAGAUGGGAUUAGCUUGUUGGUGGGGUAACGGCUCACCAAGGCGACGAUCCCUAGCUGGUCUGAGAGGAUGACCAGCCACACUGGAACUGAGACACGGUCCAGACUCCUACGGGAGGCAGCAGUGGGGAAUAUUGCACAAUGGGCGCAAGCCUGAUGCAGCCAUGCCGCGUGUAUGAAGAAG
rnacentral:rRNA from 1 species